rnacentral:rRNA from 1 species
AACGAACGCUGGCGGCAGGCUUAACACAUGCAAGUCGAGCGCACCGCACGGGGAGCGGCAGACGGGUGAGUAACGCGUGGGAAUCUACCCAUCUCUACGGAAUAACGCACGGAAACGUUUGCUAAUAACGUAUACGUCCUUCGGGAGACAGAUUUAUCGGAGAUGGAGGAGACCGCGUUGGAUUAGCUAGUUGGGGGGGUAAAGGCCUACCAGGGAGACGAGCCAUAGCGGGUCGUAGAGAAUGGGCAGCAACACUGGGGAUGGGACACGGCCCAGACUCCUACGGGAGGCGGCAGUGGGGAAUAUUGGACAAUGGGCGCAGUCCUGAUCCAGCCAUGCCGCGUGAGUGAUGAAGGCCCUAGGGUUGUAAAGCUCUUUAACAGGUGAAUGUUAUGACGGUACCCAGAGAAGAAGCCCCGGCUAACUUCGUGCCAGCCGCCGCCGUAACAC